AUUCCCCUGUCCCUUACAUCCCCGUCUCUUAUAAACAGAAAAACUGCUUUCACUUUGAGAUAUGAGUGGCCCGAUACAGCCAGCUGUGAGAGCUGCACUCCCUUCCCUGCCCCACGUGUUUUCUCUUCUCAGGCGACCCCUCCCUGAGCUGCUGACAGUGAGUCUGUUCCAAGCUCCAGUGAGGGAGGCAUCCGCCCACUUGGGGCUUCUGUCCAAGGUAAGGAGCACCUGUGAGUCUAACUGCCAGACUCUGAUGGGGGUCUCGUCUCUGUGGGACUAGAAAGUGUCCCAACAAUCUGAACAAGGUAACAGAAAGUUACAAAAGUUAAGAGAAGAACAGGGUAAGUUGGUAAGAAAGUUAGUGUAAGUAGAUAAGAAAGUGCAGAGGAGGAGAAACAAAGGAAAGAUAGAGGUCUGCAAAGAAGUGAGCUAAAAGCAAAUCUUCAGCAGACCCAGAAGAGAUAGGUUAACAGUGAAGAGAGGUAAAAAUAAAGAUGAAAGAGAUUAGAGAGGUCUGAAAUGAGAGAGAUACUCUAAAUGAGAAAUAUUUAAAAGAGGAACCAGUAAAUAAGAGUCAGACAAGAAAAAGAGAUAAAGAAACAUGAGGCUGACAAAGACAGAAACCAGAGUCAGAAUCAGAGCUGUGCUGUGAGACAGAAAGAUAAGAAAAAUAAAAUGCUGGUCACAAAAGUCAGAAAAAUUAGAAAACUUAGAUAGUACCUGGCAACAAACGAAAGCUUUUGGCUAAAGAUCAAUGUGUUUACUGUAAAGAAAAAAGCACUGGGUGAGAGACUGCCCCAAUAAAAAGAAGAGGAGCCCCCCUCAUGAUCAAACCCUUCACCUGUUCGUGACUAAAAGUAAAGAGAUAACAAAAGGGGUGCUAACACAGAAGUUGAGUCCUUAGAAGAGUCCGGUGGCCUACCUGUUAAAGCAGCUAAAAAAGAGACUGUGUUUCAUACUCCUCCACCGACCAGUGCAAAACAAGCUAAAAAGUUCCUGGGCACUGCGGGCUUUUGCAGAUUGUGGAUUCCAGGUUUGCUUAAUUAAAGAGAUAAACAGCCCUUCGUAUAGAGAAAAAAAAGAACAAUCUUAGAUGGCCUUGGAUGCUCUUGAGACUGCCCUAAUGUUAUCCCCAGCUAUGGGACUCCUAGAUGUGACUGAGAACAAAGGUAUUGCCAAAGAAGUUCUUACUCAGAGAUUGGGACCCUGGAAAAGACCUGUGACAUACUUGUAAAAAAUUAGACCUGGUGGCUGUAGGAUGGCCUGCUUGUCUGCACAUAGUGGCUUCUGGUCAAGGACGCAGAUAAAUUGACUCUGAGACAAAACUUGGCACAUGUCCUAGAAAGUGUGGUUCAGCCCCCAUGACCGAUGGCUGACUAACGCUCUUGAAAGCAUUAUCCAACUGUUCCCCUGACCGAUGGACACAUUGUCAGAGCUUUUUGUUGACUGAACGAGUGACCUUCGCUCCCCCUGCUAUCCUCGAUCUCACUACUGCCUGAGACUUCACCUACUCAUCAUUGUGCUGACAUUCUGGCAGAAGGAACUCAUACUCGAAAUGAUCUGAAGGAUCAGAUCAGCCUUGGCCUGAGAGUUUGAGCUGGUACACGGAUGGCAGUAGCCUCGAGGUUAAGGGUAAGCGAAAGGCGGGGACAGCAGUGCAGUGAUGGACAGAAAGCAAGUGAUCUAGGCCAGCAGCCUCCCUAAAGGAACUUCAGCCCAAAAAGCCAAACUUGUGGCUUUAAUACAAGCUCUAUAAAUGGUAAAAGAAAAGUCUACACGGACAGCAGGUAUGCUCUUGCCACUGUACAGAGCAAUAUACAGACAAAGAGAGCUGUUGACAUCAGCAGAGAAAGACCUAAGAUGCUGUGGCUAAAAAAAAUCAGAUGGCAAAUCUAACCGCCCAGGCAUCCUAAAGAGCAAUGAUCCUGACAGUCUGAAGACUAUCAAGUUAUAGACAAAUUAAGACUGGUAAAAAAAAACCCUGUAUAAAAUAGUAAAAACUGAAGAAAGAAAACUAGUCCUCUCAUAAGAAGACAGACCUGGCACCUACUGAAAAAUAGACUUUACUGGAAAAAAUAUGUGUAUGAAUACCUUCUGGUUUUUGUGAACGUUCUCAAGAUGGAUAAAAGCUUUUCGUUGUAAAACUGAGACUGCUCAGAUAGUCAUCAAGAAGAUUAUUAAAAAUUUUCCAAGGUUCGGAGUGCCAAAAGCAAUAGUGUCAGAUAAUGGUCCUGCCUUUGUUGCCCAGGUAAGCCAGGGUGUGGCCAAGUAUUUAGAGGUCAAAUAAAAAUUGUAUUAUGUGUACAGACCUCAGAACUCAGGACAGAUAGAAAUAAUGAAUAAAACUCUAAACAGGCCUUGACAAAAUUAAUCCUAGAGACUGGCACAGACUUACUUGGUACUCCUUCCCCUUGCCCUAUUUAGAACUGAGAAUACUCCCUCUUGAGUUUUACUCUUUUUAAGAUCCUUUAUGGGGCUCCUAUGCCCAUCACUGUCUUAAAUAAUGUGUUUAAACCUAUGUUGUUAUAAUAAUGAUCUGUAUACUAAGUUAUAAGGCUUACAGGUGGUGCAGAAAGAAGUCUGGUCACAACUGGCUACAGUGAACGAGCUGGGUACCCCAAGGACAUCUUACCAGUUCCAGCCAGAGAUCUGAUCUGCGUACACCUGCGUCAUGCUGAGACCCUCAAGCCUCACUAGAAGGGUCCCUGCCUAGUUCUGUUUACUAAUCCGCCUUAUUCUGUUUUUGUUCACAUGUUAAAGAUAGAGUAAAUGCAGUAUUCUCCACAUAGAGAUAUAGACUUCUGAAAUUCUAAGAUUAGAAUUACUUACAAGAAGAAGUGGUGAAUGAAGAAUGGAAAAUUACUGGCCUCUUGUGAGAACAUGAACUUUUUACCUCGGAGCCCACCCCCUCCCAUCUGGAAAACAUACUUGAGAAAAACAUUUUCUGGAACAACCACAGAAUGUUUCAACAGGCCAGAUGUAUUGCCAAACACAGGAUAUGACUCUUUGGUUGAGUAAACUUGUGGUUGUUAAACUUCCCCUAUUCCCUCCCCAUUCCCCCUCCCAGUUUGUGGUUUUUGCCUUUAAAAGCUUGUGAAAAAUUUGAGUCUUCGUCGAGACUCCUCUACCCUAUGCAGAGGUGUACGAGUCUCGGCCCCAGCGCGCUGGCUCCCCCCGCCCCCCCCCCCCCCGCUUUAUUAAAUAGCUUUGUGUGUACGCCA
rnacentral:lncRNA from 1 species